ACUUGUACUUGUGUGUAUUUUUUUUAUCCGUUCCAGCUGUUGUCUGCCCAGCUCCACUAUUCACCCAUCAUCUAGGUUUUGCCUUUUGCUUCUGAACGGUUCAAUCAACUGCAUUCCAGCGGCUUUGUGGCAGAGGGUAUGGGUGACGGUUGUACGAACUCGAAGUGGGUGUUUCAGCAAGAGAGAAGAAGGCAGCUUGCGUUUUCAUGAGAACUAUUCAUUCAUCAUCAACCAAAAUUGAAGUGGGUUUUUGGCAGAGGGUAUGGUGAGGCUUGUACGAAAUCGGAAGGGAUGGUUCGUGAAGAGAGAUGGAGAUGCUUGGGCUCUGGCGGAAGUACUUGAUGCAGAAGCAGGGAAAGAGGGAGGGAGGUCUGUAUGCAGAGGACUGGAGGAAGCUAGAUGACAAUGUGUGCGAAGUUGGAGCCGUCAAUUUCAUUCAUAUUCGUAUUCAGCAGAAACAUCAAACACAUACAACUAUCCAUCUUUUUGUUCAGUUUCUGCUCCAUCUCUCAAUCUAUUUCAAUCUCACACAACCAACCAACCAUAUCUUGCAUGUUCCAAUUUAUCUCUUCAUCCAAUCCAUUUGAUUUCACACACAAAACAACAAAAACGGCUCAAUCGUUCAUUCACUGAUAUUUCACUGCAGCCACAUCCACCUUCACUGAACCAGGUCAACAUGGAGAUCGAUAGAGCAAUCAGAGAGUGUGACGAUCGAAGGCUUCAGACCAAGUAUAACAAUGCUACCUAUGUUAUUCAGAGAGCCUUGGCUUUGUAUUCGAUGGGACGAAAUGAGGAUAUCCAUUGAUAUGUAGAGAAGGUGGUAGCUUGGUCUCGAGAAAGAGGGAGCAGAAGGUAGAGAAGUUGCUAUUAUUCUUCAUUGGUUCAAUGGGAUGGAUCAACAACUGGUGAGCACCAAGCAGAGUUUCAAUUUGAAUUGAACCAGUAGUGACUCAUUUCUAUGGUUAUCCACCUCCAUUUUUAAGGCCCAAGUUUCCAAGGCAACCAGGAAUGCCAACUGGUGAGCACCAAGCAGAGUUUCAAUUUGGUAAAUUGAACCAGUAGUGACUCAUUUCUAUGGUUAUCCACCUCCAUUUUUAAGGCCCAAGUUUCCAAGGCAACCAGGAAUGCCAGAGGUGAUUGGGUACAAAAGAUGACGAGGGUUACCUGUGAUUUUGGCGAUACAAUGUAGAAAGAGGCAGUGUCUUCUAAAAUCUCACUCCAGAAUUCUUUCCCUAUUCACGUUCCCCGAUGAAAGUCCAAGCCUCUCUUUCAAUCUGAAUAUAUGCAUUUAAGAUGAUAAUAGAGGUAUUGCUUUAGGUGGAGACAGUAUCCUAGAGUUAGUUGAUUAGUUUUAACAUACGAGAAUUGUGAUUCAGUGGCUAAAAACUAGAAGUAUGAGGCGAAAAUGUCAAUGAUAUUUAUACUUAUCCAUAUGUGCAUGUGAGCCUCACUUAGAACUCGAGUUCUAUCUCUCAAGAGUUGAGAUUUACGCGAUAUCAAUUUAAAGAGUGGGUCUAUAGUUUGUUUGUAAGAGUUUUAAGACUUUCAAGAUUUGUAAUUUUGUGCUAUUCUUGAAUUAAUUCUGGUUCCUUGGCACAAUAUGCACGAAAACUACCAUGUAUUAUUUGCAAGAAAAUUGAAUAUGAUUGAUGCUUAGGGAGUAGAA